AUUGAACGCUGGCGGCAGGCUUAACACAUGCAAGUCGAACGAGUGGCGGACGGGUGAGUAAUGCUUGGAAAUCUAGCUUAUGGAGGGGGAUAACUAGGGGAAAAUGUUGCUAAUACCGCUUACCAUAGGGUGAGGCGAAGUGGGAUUAGGUAGUUGGUGAGGUAAAGGCUAACCACGCCGAAGAUCUCUAGCUGGUCUGAGAGGAUGACCAGCCACACUGGGACUGAGACACGGCCCAGACUCCUACGGGAGGCAGCAGUGGGGAAUAUUGCGCAAUGGGGGCAACCUGACCCAGCCAUGCCGCGUGAAUGAAGAAGGCCUUCGGGUUGUAAAGUUCUUUCGGUAGAGAGGCGUUAACUACAGAAGAAGCACCGGCUAACUCCGUGCCAGCCGCCGCGGUAAUAC
rnacentral:rRNA from 1 species